rnacentral:rRNA from 1 species
UACGUAGGGGGCUAGCGUUGUCCGGAUUUAUUGGGCGUAAAGAGCGUGUAGGCGGCCAGGUAGGUCUGGCGUGAAAACUCGAGGCUUAACCUCGAGAUGUCAUCGGAAACCAUUUGGCUAGAGUCCGGAAGAGGAGAGUGGAAUUCCUGGUGUAGCGGUGAAAUGCGCAGAUAUCAGGAAGAACACCAAUGGCGAAAGCAGCUCUCUGGGACGGUACUGACGCUGAGACGCGAAAGCGUGGGGAGCGAACAGG